GAAAUGCGAUAAGUAAUGUGAAUUGCAGAAUUCAGUGAAUCAUCGAAUCUUUGAACGCACCUUGCGCUCCUUGGUAUUCCUUGGAGCAUGCCUGUUUGAGUAUCAUGAAAUCUUCAAAGUAAAUCUUUUGUUAACUCAAUUGGUUUCUACUUUGGUAUUGGAGGUCUUUGCAGCUUCACACCUGCUCCUCUUUGUUCAUUAGCUGGAUCUCAGUGUUAUGCUUGGUUCCACUCGGCGUGAUAAGUUAUCUAUCUCUGAGGACACUGUAAAAGGUGGCCAAGGUAAAUGCAGAUGAACCGCUUCUAAUAGUCCAUUGACUUGGACAAUACUUUUAUGAUCUGAUCUCAAAUCAGGUAGGACUACACGCUGAACUUAAGC
rnacentral:misc_RNA from 1 species